rnacentral:rRNA from 1 species
UACGUAGGGGUGCAAGCGUUAAUCGGAAUUACUGGGGCGUAAAAGCGUGCGCAGGCGGUUCGCUAAGACAGAUGUGAAAAUCCCCCGGGGCUUUAACCCUGGGGAAACUGCAUUUGUGACUUGGGCGGGGCUAGAGUAUGGGCAGAGGGGGGGUAGAAUUUCCACGUGUAGCAGUGAAAAUGCGUAGAGAUGUGGGAGGA